rnacentral:tRNA from 1 species
GUCCCUGUAGUGCAAAGGAUAGCGCGUUGGGCUUCUUAUCCAAUAGUGGUGGGUUCGAAUCCCGCCUGGGAUG